rnacentral:rRNA from 1 species
GACGAACGCUGGCGGCGUGCUUAACACAUGCAAGUCGAACGGAAAGGCCCUGCUUUUGUGGGGUGCUCGAGUGGCGAACGGGUGAGUAACACGUGAGUAACCUGCCCUUGACUUUGGGAUAACUUCAGGAAACUGGGGCUAAUACCGGAUAGGAGCUCCUGCUGCAUGGUGGGGGUUGGAAAGUUUCGGCGGUUGGGGAUGGACUCGCGGCUUAUCAGCUUGUUGGUGGGGUAGUGGCUUACCAAGGCUUUGACGGGUAGCCGGCCUGAGAGGGUGACCGGCCACAUUGGGACUGAGAUACGGCCCAGACUCCUACGGGAGGCAGCAGUGGGGAAUAUUGCACAAUGGGCGGAAGCCUGAUGCAGCAACGCCGCGUGCGGAAUGACGGCCUUCGGGUUGUAAACCGCUUUCGCCUGUGACGAAGCGUGAGUGACGGUAAUGGGUAAAGAAGCACCGGCUAACUACGUGC